CCGAUGGAGGGGGAUAACUACUGGAAACGGUAGCUAAUACCGCAUAACGUCGCAAGACCAAAGAGGGGGACCUUCGGGCCUCUUGCCAUCGGAUGUGCCCAGAUGGGAUUAGCUAGUAGGUGGGGUAAGGCUCACCUAGGCGACGAUCCCUAGCUGGUCUGAGAGGAUGACCAGCCACACUGGAACUGAGACACGGUCCAG
rnacentral:rRNA from 1 species